AUUGAACGCUGGCGGCAUGAUUUACACAUGCAAGUCGAACGGUAACAGGCCGCAAGGUGCUGACGAGUGGCGCACGGGUGAGUAAUGCAUCGGAACGUGCCCAGUCGUGGGGGAUAACUACUCGAAAGAGUAGCUAGUACCGCAUACGAUCUAUGGAUGAAAGCGGGGGACCGUAAGGCCUCGCGCGAUUGGAGCGGCCGAUGUCAGAUUAGGUAGUUGGUGGGGUAAAGGCUCACCAAGCCAACGAUCUGUAGCUGGUCUGAGAGGACGACCAGCCACACUGGGACUGAGACACGGCCCAGACUCCUACGGGAGGCAGCAGUGGGGAAUUUUGGACAAAGGGCGCAAGCCUGAUCCAGCAAUGCCGCGUGCAGGAAGAAGGCCUUCGGGUUGUAAACUGCUUUUGUACGGAACGAAACGGCUCUGGUUAAUACCCGGGGCUAAUGACGGUACCGUAAGAAUAAGCACCGGCUAACUACGUG
rnacentral:rRNA from 1 species